rnacentral:rRNA from 1 species
AGUGAACGCUGGCGGUAGGCCUAACACAUGCAAGUCGAACGGCAGCACAGAGGAGCUUGCUCCUUGGGUGGCGAGUGGCGGACGGGUGAGGAAUACAUCGGAAUCUACUUUUUCGGGGGGGAUAACGUAGGGAAACUUACGCUAAUACCGCAUACGACCUACGGGUGAAAGCAGGGGACCCUCGGGCCUUGCGCGAUUGAAUGAGCCGAUGUCGGAUUAGCUAGUUGGCGGGGUAAAGGCCCACCAAGGCGACGAUCCGUAGCUGGUCUGAGAGGAUGAUCAGCCACACUGGAACUGAGACACGGUCCAGACUCCUACGGGAGGCAGCAGUGGGGAAUAUUGGACAAUGGGCGCAAGCCUGAUCCAGCCAUACCGCGUGGGUGAAGAAGGCCUUCGGGUUGUAAAGCCCUUUUGUUGGGAAAGAAAUCCAGCUGGCUAAUACCCGGUUGGGAUGACGGUACCCAAAGAGUAAGCACCGGCUAACUUCGUGCCAGCCGCCGCAGUAA